CACAUUUAAAAUAAAUCAUCCAUACUUAAGAAAUAGUGUCCUAAAUCAUGCCUUCUUGAAGAGAGGCUAAGGGAGCUAGGGCUUUCCUCUUUGGAGUGAAGACAGACGAGAAGUGACUUGUUAAGUGUGCGAGAAGUGGAAAGCAGCCAGUGAGUGGGCGGGCCAGUGAAGGAGUGGAGAUUUGAGGCUUUGACGAGAAGAGGCUGAGGACGAGCUUCACUCCAAGUGAGGCUCACAGUAUGGUUCAGAGAAUGCUCUACACAGCUGGAAUCUUCGUCUUUCAGGAAUGUAAUCUGUGUACAAAUUGCACUGCACAUUCCCAUUGAGAGGAAGGCCAUCUAUGGGGAAAAAGAACCAGCUGAUCUACAAGUCACUAUAAAUCACUCUGCUUUUAAACUACAGGAAUGUCAAAAAUUUACACUUUUGUAGCAUCUUUAAUGCUGUAAGGCCUACUUUGUUUGCUGAUUGUUCCUAUAUCUAAUGGUCUUAUUUGGGAGAAAGCAGGGGAAUAGGGUUGAGAGGGAUGGAAAGGCAGAGAUGAAUCAAUGGUCCAAUUGGCCUAAUUCUGCUCCUGUGUCUUAUGGUCAGAGAAGAAUCACAAGGCAAAAACUGACCUUUAGCCAUUUAAUUAAUUUUAGGUCUUGUGAUCAAAAAUGAACUGUUGGGGGUGGGAGAACAGGGAAA